CCUACGUGAGGCAGCAGUGGGGAAUAUUGGGCAAUGGGCGCAAGCCUGACCCAGCAACGCCGCGUGAAGGAAGAAGGCUUUCGGGUUGUAAACUUCUUUUAAGAGGGAAGAGCAGAAGACGGUACCUCUUGAAUAAGCCACGGCUAACUACGUGCCAGCAGCCGCGGUAAUACGUAGGUGGCAAGCGUUGUCCGGAUUUACUGGGGGUAAAGGGCGUUCAGCCGGGAAGACAAGUCAGAUGUGAAAUCCCGCGGCUCAACCGCGGAACUGCAUUUGAAACUGUUUUUCUUGAGUACCGGAGAGGUGAUCGGAAUUCCUGGUGUAGCGGUGAAAUGCGUAGAUAUAAGGAAGAACACCAGUGGCGAAGGCGGAUGACUGGACGGCAACUGACGGUGAGGCGCGAAAGCGAGGGGAGCAAACAGGAUUAGAUACCCUGGUAGUC
rnacentral:rRNA from 1 species